AUGUAUAAAUGUUAUUAUAUUAUAGUNNNNNNNNNNNNNNNNNNNNNNNNNNNNNNNNNNNNNNNNNNNNNNNNNNNNNNNNNUAAAAAUAAUGCUACAAAGUUAAAUAUAUAAUUUCAAAUAUAUAUGUGUAUACUUUUUAACAUUAUGGUAAUAAGAAAAAGUAUUUUUCUUAAUUAUCAUAAAAAUAAUUCUUUGAUGUAAAUAAUAGACAUAGAUUUGGGUGAAAUAUGGCCUGUACGGGUUAUUGACGGAGAUUCACCUAUUCAUCUGAAGGAAGAUCAGUCUAUUAGUAUUCCUUCAAAACACGUCACAUGUUGACUUCUGUGAAAAAGCCAAAAGACUGAUUACAUCACACCGGUUUCCCGUGGACUGCUUGAGACGAUCGGGUUGAUUGUUUGCUUUACAAAUAAAAGCACGUCUAGAUAUGUACAGAUGCAUUAUCUGUGUGUAAUAUUUCACAUGACAAUACAAUUCUUUAGCCUGCUUGUCAAAGAAAAGAAAGCGUUCCUAUGAUGGUUUUCUAAAUGUGGAUGCUUCAGGUUGACUUCCUGUAGGUGUGUGUGGCUCAGGUAAACAGCCAGUGUCAGUGGAUUAAUCAACACACGGCUCUGUGAAGUGACUGUAACACUUUCCACAGCACACCACUGAGAACAGACCAGCCACACUCAGGAGACCCAGGAGGGUUGAAAUCUCCUGUCUGGAUGAAGUGCCCUUUAAGAUCCCUCUUGGCUUUCUUGAGGAUGCAAAGGAAGAAGUCGAAUGCAUCCCAGCUCCAGAAAUCCCUCUGCCUGACUACCUGAAGAUACUGCAGGAAACUGAGGCCCAGGAUUCAUUCUCCCCCCUGGCCCCAUCACAGCCACUCAAUUCCCACGCUGCCGUCCUGGACUCUUCGGUCGAGCUGCUCUCCGCUCUCAGCCCAGAGGGGAGGGAGUUGCUGGCGGCGGUGACCAAGCAGGGCUACCCUCUCCGUACGGCCAUCAUCGCCCUCCAGAAAACUGGCCAGCAGAGUCCAGAGCAGGUCAAUGAGGGAGAUCUGUUACAGGGAUUCAGUCUGAAAUAAGAGAUGGGACUCAUUCGCGGGUCGAGAUGUAAUGCUGAGAUUCUCUGCACCAUCCUUGGUGUAUCACAGGGGAAGGUCAAUCAAAGUGCAUGCUGGGUUACCAGUAUAGUUCAGUUGUCAGUGUGCUUAUGAACAUGCACUAUGAACCCAGACCACAAUUAUGUAAAUAAUUUCACUGAAAUUAAAAAUUAAAUUGUUAAUUGAAAUAAAUCUGAAAUAAAAUAUAAAUAAUAGAUUCA
ensembl:lncRNA